rnacentral:rRNA from 1 species
AGAGUUUGAUCCUGGCUCAGAUUGAACGCUGGCGGCGUGCCUAACACAUGCAAGUCGAGCGGUAACGCGGGAGCAAUCCUGGCGACGAGCGGCGAACGGGUGAGUAACGCUUCGGAAUCUGCCCAGUAGUGGGGAAUAACCAGCCGAAAGGUUGGCUAAUGCCGCAUACGACCCCUUUCCUUACUGGAGAGGGUUGAAAG